rnacentral:rRNA from 1 species
CAGCCGCCGCGGUAAUACGGGGGGGGCAAGUGUUAUUCGGAAUGACUGGGCGUAAAGCGUGCGUAGGUGGUGGUUUAAGUCCGUUGUGAAAGCCCUGGGCUCAACCUGGGAAUUGCAGUGGAUACUGGGUCACUAGAGUGUGGUAGAGGAUAGUGGAAUUUCCGGUGUAGCAGUGAAAUGCGUAGAGAUCGGAAGGAACAUCUGUGGCGAAGGCGACUAUCUGGGCCAACACUGACACUGAGGCACGAAAGCGUGGGGAGCAAACAGGAUUAGAUACCCCAGUAGUCCCUGUCUCUUAUAC